CACCUAAAAGCUAAGAAUUAGGCGUAAAAGGAAAUGGAUCGAAGUGAGGGGGGAAAAGUAGAGUACCGUCACGCUUGAGGGUUUUACACUGAACAACAACGAUUUGGAUCAAGGAUAACGAGAAGAUCAGGAGAAUUGCUGAAGGUAGAUGACUAAUGCGAGCCAUUUUGAAUAGGUAAUCGAUCACCUUGGGCCGAGCCGAAUUUGAAUCCUAAACUUUGAAUCAAUGAUAACGAGAAGAUCAGGAGAAUUGCUGAAGAUAGAUGAGUAAUGCGAGCCAUUUUGAAUAGGUAAUCGAUCACCUUCGGCCGAGUCGAAUUUGAAUCCUCAGAAUCCGCUAGAGUUAUACGUACAUCAUGUAGAGUAUAGAGAGGUUGAGAGAGAUCAAUGAAGUGAGGAAGAUCUGUGU
rnacentral:lncRNA from 1 species